CGAACGGGUGAGUAACACGUGGGUAACCUGCCCAUCAGAAGGGGAUAACACUUGGAAACAGGUGCUAAUACCGUAUAACACUAUUUUUCGCAUGGAAGAAAGUUGAAAGGCGCUUUUGCGUCACUGAUGGAUGGACCCGCGGUGCAUUAGCUAGUUGGUGAGGUAACGGCUCACCAAGGCCACGAUGCAUAGCCGACCUGAGAGGGUGAUCGGCCACACUGGGACUGAGACACGGCCCAGACUCCUACGGGAGGCAGCAGUAGGGAAUCUUCGGCAAUGGACGAAAGUCUGACCGAGCAACGCCGCGUGAGUGAAGAAGGUUUUCGGAUCGUAAAACUCUGUUGUUAGAGAAGAACAAGGAUGAGAGUAAAAUGUUCAUCCCUUGACGGUAUCUAACCAGAAAGCCACGGCUAACUACGCGCCAGCAGCCGCGGUAAUACGUAGGUGGCAAGCGUUGUCCGGAUUUAUUGGGCGUAAAGCGAGCGCAGGCGGUUUCUUAAGUCUGAUGUGAAAGCCCCCGGCUCAACCGGGGAGGGUCAUUGGAAACUGGGAGACUUGAGUGCAGAAGAGGAGAGUGGAAUUCCAUGUGUAGCGGUGAAAUGCGUAGAUAUAUGGAGGAACACCAGUGGCGAAGGCGGCUCUCUGGUCUGUAACUGACGCUGAGGCUCGAAAGCGUGGGGAGCGAACAGGAUUAGAUACCCUGGUAGUCCACGCCGUAAACGAUGAGUGCUAAGUGUUGGAGGGUUUCCGCCCUUCAGU
rnacentral:rRNA from 1 species